rnacentral:tRNA from 1 species
AGGAUAUUAAUUUAAAAAAAAUAAUUAAAUUGCAAUUAAAAAUUAAUAAUUAAAAUUAUUAUAUCUUA